rnacentral:rRNA from 1 species
AUUGAACGCUGGCGGCAUGCCUUACACAUGCAAGUCGAACGGCAGCACGGGAGCAAUCCUGGUGGCGAGUGGCGAACGGGUGAGUAAGGUAUCGGAACGUGCCCAGACGUGGGGGAUAACGUAGCGAAAGUUACGCUAAUACCGCAUACGAUCUAUGGAGGAAAGCGGGGGAUCGCAAGACCUCGCGCGAUUGGAGCGGCCGAUAUCAGAUUAGGUAGUUGGUGGGGUAAAGGCUCACCAAGCCGACGAUCUGUAGCUGGUCUGAGAGGACGACCAGCCACACUGGGACUGAGACACGGCCCAGACUCCUACGGGAGGCAGCAGUGGGGAAUUUUGGACAAUGGGCGAAAGCCUGAUCCAGCCAUGCCGCGUGCAGGAUGAAGGCCUUCGGGUUGUAAACUGCUUUUGUACGGAACGAAAAGGUUUGGGCUAAUAAGCUGAGCUCAUGACGGUACCGUAAGAAUAAGCACCGGCUAACUACGUGCCAGCAGCCGCCGCCG